GCCAUGAGUCAUAGUUCUGGCCAAUGGAACAUAAGCACAUGACUGCUGGGAACGUCCUUCAAAGCGUUUUCCUGAUAAAAGGGCACAGACGCCUCUGGCACCUUUCUUUUUCCUUCUUCUUCUUAAAAGCAGGCAUGUCAGCUGUAGGUGCAGAAGCCAUGCUGGAACCAGGAGGCAACCAGCAAGAGGGCCUCAUCUACAGUCAGGACCACACACCCUUCCCCAUGGCUAAAGGAGAAUGGAAAAUACUGGAAUGUUAUAACUUUCCCUGGAACUUCCGACUUCUGAAUCCUGAACAACUGUGCUUUCAAGAUCGCCAAGUGGUCUCUGGCUUCCUCUUCUCCUGCUUCUCCCCCAUUAUUAUUAGAUACAGAGUAAUGGUUAACGUUUUGGUCAGAAGGUCCCAGGUGCCUACCCCAGCUCUGUUGGGAGAGCUGAGUAACUUGUGAAGCAACUUAAGUUCUUUCCACCCUCAAACUCCUCACUUGGAAAAUGAAUUCAUUUUACAUUUCAUUACGGAUUAUUAUAAAAUACAAACAAGUUAACAUAUAAACACAGAAUAAGUAUUUAAUAAAUAGUAGCCAUUGUUUUUAACAGGGUCUAUGCCAGUAAACAAGUCACAUCUGCCUCUCUGGGGCCACCUUACCCAACACCAUCAGCAUUCAUUCGCUGGGUCAUGGAUCUCCUUGUCUCCAGAGCAUCCUUAAUUCUCGAGAGGGGGUAAAAACGCACUGUUAUAAAGAAAUUAGAUUAAAUUUGUUUUUAAGUUUCAUUAUUUUAGUGGAAGAAGCUGGGAUAGAAUUAGAACAGCAGAGCUGCACAAAGGGAAACAAGAUAGAGGAGCGUCAGAGCACUGGGACGGGGAAGAAGAAAAUAGUAGGAAAAGGAGAAGGAAGUAGGACAAAUGUACAUUUGCCCCAGAGACAGUCCUAAUUAGGCUCUUUUCUUCUCUGUUGCUGUUUUUGCUUCCUUUGGUUUAAAAAUAAAGUGGCCUGUUUUAGCUCUAAUUAUGCCUUUUAUUUUCAUAUUUAUAAGAUUAAAAUUGCAUAACCUGCCCAGGACAAACUGUGAUCUAAGGCAUUUGAUGUGUGUGGGAGAAGCAAGGGAAAAAAGGCCUCCAGCCCAACCCGAGGAGGCAAAAUGCUUAUGGAGUAUGAGAACCUUGUUGACUUAAGUUUCUGGAUUGUUCUCCCAGGCAAGGAAAACCAUCUUAAAAAACAAACAAACUUGUAUUCUGGGGUAUUUCCCAGAAAAGACGCAGGUAUGGUUUAGUAAGUUGGAAUUUGGUUUUGUUUUUGGAGCUUCAGCCGGGUGGUAAAAGGUCAGCGCUGUGUUGUAAUCCACUCUGGUGCCUUCCUCCCGUAAUCCUAACCACAGCCC
rnacentral:lncRNA from 1 species